AAACUGCGCCUAUUUGCAAAAAAUUCUGGUUAUCCAGUAUCUUGCAUACAAGAACCAAAGAACUACAGCAAAAAAGACUUACGGAGCUUAAAACAUGAUGAAACUUGUCUUGUUUGUCGCAUUGAUUUCAAUUUUGGGAGUUUUUGCGCAGAAUGGAGAAACUCCAGACGACCUUUCGAUGAUGCCCUCUUGCUAUCCCCGGUGUCUCGAUGCGUUCAACAAAUGCAGAACGUAUUACAAUUGCUACGGUCGUCCAAGCUCCGAACAAAACAGGUGCUUGGACUACUGCAGAGACCAGUACAACAAAUGUAUAAAAUGUUAAAUACAAAAGACAUCAUGUUGAUCUUAACAUGCCAUAAAAAAAUCAAAUAAAAUGUCUCACAAUCAGC
rnacentral:misc_RNA from 1 species